GAUGAACGCUGGCGGCGUGCCUAAUACAUGCAAGUCGAGCGGAGCGGGGACGGGUGAGUAACACGUGGAUAACCUCCUAUAAGACUGGGAUAAAUUCGGGGAACCGGAGCUUAACCCGCUACUGAUAGAUGGUUCCGCGAUGCAUUAGCUAGUUGGUAAGGUAACGGCUUACCAAGGCAACGAUGCAUAGCUGACCUGAGAGGGUGAUCAGCCACACUGGAACUGAGACACGGUCCAGACUCCGACGGGAGGCAGCAGUAGGGAAUCGUCCGCAAUGGGCGAAAGCCUGACGGAGCCACGCCGCGUGAGUGAUGAAGGUCUUCGGAUCGUAAAACUCUGUUAUUAGGGAAGCGGUACCUAAUCAGAAAGCCACGGCUAACUCCGUGCCAGCAGCCGCGGUAAUUC
rnacentral:rRNA from 1 species